GCAAGUUUUGCUUCCUUUGCUGGUCAAAAUUAGCCCUUCUCCCUUUUUUCGCCAAACUCUAGACAUCCCAGUGGUUGCCGCGGUCCUCAUUGGAUUGAACAUGUGUAUAAACGAUACACCAUCCAUAUAGAACGACACUUCAUUCGUCCAAAAGCUUCCGUUUCCUUUCAUGAACUUCUUCACUUUUCUACAAAAUCGUCGUCUCAGUACCCUAUCUCGGUCUGACAGAAUACCUUUCUCCGUCUUUGGGGGAAACCAUAGCCAUUCAAAUUUAGAAUACGUGAAACUGUCCGUCGACUAACAGCGUCUAAACUGAGACCGUUUCCAUUACUAGGGACUUAACGGAAACAUUCUGUUCACGCAAUCGCAGGACUUUUAGCGUUCUUAUCAAAGAUCGUAAUUUUCUUGAGUUGAGCUUUCGUGGCCUUCCCUUUUUCUUGCAUAUUUUUUGUAUUUUUCUCGUUUAUUUGCAUACUGCAUAUUCUGUGACUUGACGAUUUUGAAAUAUUGUACUCUUUUGCAAUAUCGCUAUAUGAAGCAUUGUAUUUUACCCUUAAUAAGUGGGCAUAAGCUUUUUGAACUGGUGUGAUUUUUUGCCUGGCAUCCUUGUGUAGGCAACUGUGUUCUCAAUCACUUAAGUCAUGAAUCAGUUUUUAAUGUGGUUGUCGAGUACGUGUUAAUCAGAUUACAUCAAUGCACGACUUCAUAAAUGAUGGCACUUAGACUAAAUGCAGACGAAAUAGAAACUUUUCUUGUUCACAUUACUUGCGCAAAUAAUUCUCAAUUAUCUAAACACACUCGUUUAAUUUCAAUCUAAAAUCGUAUAAUCGUAUAAUCGCCCUAUUUUAAGAAUAACUGGAAUAUAUAUUUAAAAACAGAUAUUUCAUAGGAGUAUGGUCUUAUUUACACAAAAGCGAUUGAACUUUGAUUGUAC